CCUACGGGAGGCAGCAGUGAGGAAUAUUGGUCAAUGGGCGCGAGCCUGAACCAGCCAAGUCGCGUGAAGGAUGAAGGUUCUAUGGAUCGUAAACCUCUUUUAUAAGGGAAUAAAGUGUGGGACGUGUCCCAUUUUGUAUGUACCUUAUGAAUAAGGAUCGGCUAACUCCGUGCCAGCAGCCGCGGUAAUACGGAGGAUCCGAGCGUUAUCCGGAUUUAUUGGGUUUAAAGGGUGCGUAGGCGGGCUGUUAAGUCAGGUGUGAAAGUUUGAGGCUCAACCGAAAAAUUGCCGUUGAAACUGGGAGGAGUGAGUAUGGUUGAGGUAGGCGGAAUGCGUGGUGUAGCGGUGAAAUGAUUAGAUAUCACGAAGAACCCCGAUUGCGAAGGCAGCUUACCAAACCCAUACUGACGGUGAUGCUCGAAAGUGUGGGGAUCAAACAGGAUUAGAUACCCGAGUAGUC
rnacentral:rRNA from 1 species